UACGUGAGUGGCAAGCAUUAUCCGGAUUUACUUGGCAUAAAGCGCGUGUAGGCUGUAAUUUAAGUCAGAUGUUAAAGCCCGCAGCUCAACUGCGGUACGCAUUUGAUACUGAAUUACGAGAGGUCAGGAGAGGAAAGUGGAACUCACGGUGUAGCGGUGAAAUGCGUAGAUAUCGUGAGGGACACCAGUGGCGAAGGCGACUUUCUGGACUGAAUCUGACGCUGAGGCGCGAAAGCGUGGGGAGCAAACAGG
rnacentral:misc_RNA from 1 species